AUGCUCGCUUCGGCAGCACAUACACUAAAAUUGGAAUGAUACAGAGAAGAUUAGCAUGGCCCCUGCACAAGGAUGGCAUGCAAAUUUGUGAAGCGUUCCAUAUUUUU
rnacentral:snRNA from 1 species